rnacentral:rRNA from 1 species
UACGUAGGGUGCAAGCGUUAUCCGGAAUGAUUGGGCGUAAAGCGUCCGCAGGUGGCAGUUCAAGUCUGCUGUCAAAGACCGGGGCUUAACUUCGGAAAGGCAGUGGAAACUGAACAGCUAGAGUAUGGUAGGGGCAGAGGGAAUUCCUGGUGUAGCGGUGAGAUGCGUAGAUAUCAGGAAGAACAUCGGUGGCGAAGGCGCUCUGCUGGACCAUAACUGACACUCAGGGACGAAAGCUAGGGGAGCGAAUGGG